GCAUUGGUGGCUCAGUGGUAAGGCUUCUUGCCUACCAUGCGGAAGGCCCGGGUUCGAUUCCCAGCCAAUGCC